ACCUACGGGACGCAGCAGUGAGGAAUAUUGGUCAAUGGGCGCGAGCCUGAACCAGCCAAGUCGCGUGAGGGAAGACGGUCCUAUGGAUUGUAAACCUCUUUUGUCGGGGAGCAAAAGACGCCACGUGUGGCGUUCCGAGAGUACCCGAAGAAAAAGCAUCGGCUAACUCCGUGCCAGCAGCCGCGGUAAUACGGAGGAUGCGAGCGUUAUCCGGAUUUAUUGGGUUUAAAGGGAGCGUAGAUGGGUUGUUAAGUCAGUUGUGAAAGUUUGCGGCUCAACCGUAAAAUUGCAAUUGAUACUG
rnacentral:rRNA from 1 species